UACAGAGGGUGCAAGCGUUGUUCGGAAUUAUUGGGCGUAAAGCGCGUGUAGGCGGCAGUGCAAGUCGGGUGUGAAAUCCCCAGGCUUAACCUGGGAACUGCAUUCGAGACUGCAUUGCUAGAGUAUGGGAGAGGGAAGUGGAAUUUCAGGUGUAGCGGUGAAAUGCGUAGAUAUCUGAAGGAACAUCAGUGGCGAAAGCGACUUCCUGGACCAAUACUGACGCUCAUGUGCGAAAGCGUGGGGAGCAAACAGG
rnacentral:rRNA from 1 species